rnacentral:rRNA from 2 species
UUAGCAGUCGAGCGAGUUCUCGUUGAUGAUCGGUGCUUGCACCGAGAUUCUACAUGGAACGAGUGGCGGACGGGUGAGUAACACGUGGGUAACCUGCCCUUAAGUGGGGGAUAACAUUUGGAAACAGAUGCUAAUACCGCAUAGAUCCAAGAACCGCAUGGUUCUUGGCUGAAAGAUGGCGUAAGCUAUCGCUUUUGGAUGGACCCGCGGCGUAUUAGCUAGUUGGUGAGGUAAUGGCUCACCAAGGCGAUGAUACGUAGCCGAACUGAGAGGUUGAUCGGCCACAUUGGGACUGAGACACGGCCCAAACUCCUACGGGAGGCAGCAGUAGGGAAUCUUCCACAAUGGACGCAAGUCUGAUGGAGCAACGCCGCGUGAGUGAAGAAGGCUUUCGGGUCGUAAAACUCUGUUGUUGGAGAAGAAUGGUCGGCAGAGUAACUGUUGUCGGCGUGACGGUAUCCAACCAGAAAGCCACGGCUAACUACGUGCCAGCAGCCGCGGUAAUACGUAGGUGGCAAGCGUUAUCCGGAUUUAUUGGGCGUAAAGCGAGCGCAGGCGGUUUUAUUAAGUCUGAUGUGAAAGCCGCUCAGUCAUAU